GAUUUUCCUCUAUUUAAUGUAUGAAUGUACGUGAUGACAGCCAAUAAUAAGUGGAGAACUAUGAUUAGGAGAAGUGAAGAAAUGUUUGGGAGGGGUGGUAUGCAAACAAACAAUUUGUGAUCAUACCCAGGUAUAUUUUCUCAAGUACCCAUAAUAAUGUAAUGUGUAUAUAGUGUAGUAUGUGCGCGGUUCUUUCGAGUGGAAACAAUUUUAACUAGGUACCUACCUAUUUGAGGUACGAGCUGUUGUAUAUAUUAUACUAUACAGUGUGUUAUAAUUAAUUGGGAACUCAGUAACCCUACUUCAAGACGUAGUGCGAAUAUUUUAUAAUUGUUUUUUUUUUUAUAAUAUGUAAUAUACUAAUUUAUUACUAAUGGCCUUUGAAUGUUUACCAUGACGUAUUACAAUAUGUUAUAUACUUAUAUGUAACAUAAAAAAACCGAUUUCAAAUAUUCACACUGCAUCAUCAUGAACUAGGCUAGCAUACCGCAGCUGCCAGUAUUAUAUUAUAUCAGUACCUUACUAUAUAGUUGCCGUGAAUCGCAAUGGUUAUACUUGCAACGGACUCCUAAGAUUUAAAGUCUUAACCAGACGUCUGGUUUGAAAUUGCCACCGAGUACCGACAUUAUAGAAUUCUGCAAACCUGGCUUCCGGUUAAUCCAUAUUAUAAUGUAUGAUACUAUGGGAGGCGAAUGGCAGGUAAGGUGUAUAAUGUAUAAUAUUAUGUUAUUAUUCUCGCUUCACCCACCACCUGUUAAUAUUUCGACGUGCGGUCGAUAUGACAAUCAAUCAGCAGCUAUAUUAUAAUAUACGUUACUCCAGUAUAAUAUAACAUAAUAUAGGUAGUAUCUUAUUUAUAAGUAGGUACUCUUGUGUAUGGUUCGCGUCGAGUACUAUAUUAUUUCAUUUUAGUUCAGGCGUAUCGAGGAUUUAGAUGGAUUGCACUUCGAACGCAUUAUUAAAUGCGUGUGUGCCUAUAAUGUGUAUUAAAUUUAUUGAACGUACACUGCGCGUUCGACGUUUAAAGCGGCUGCUGUUAUCGUUUUUUUUCCCCCCGUAAACAGACGAUGUGGAAUUAAUAUCGUAUUUAUUUGAACGUAUAAAACAACAAUGAUGGGGCGUCGGCAACGUUUGACAAGCCGAUAUCGGUAUCACGCGUAACAACUAACAAAAUAACAAUGAUGGAGUGGCGCAAAUGCCAUACUGCUGCGCUCACGCAUAAUAAUAAUACCUAUACUUGAUAGCUAUUAUUUUUUAUUUUUUAUUGUUUAGUAUGUUUACAACAUAAGGUUCCAUAUUUAUUGUUUAUAUUUAAAUAAUACUAUUUACAGAUUAUAAAUAAUAAAUAAUUAGUCAAUAGAUUACUUAGAAACGAAAAUGCCUCCGAAUAGAAAGAUUGUCGUUGGAUGCUCAAAUCCCUCUAACUAUAAGCAGCACAUGGUCCUUUUGUCGACUAGACAGUGUCAUCCUUUCGUCAGUGAGUGCACCGCUGGUUAUCAUUUGCGAAUCGUCUGUUUACUAUUGUGCCAAAAUACAGUACAUUGUUCGCGCAUCGGCGACCGAUUGUCGUUUGCGUAUUGUUUGCUUACCUGCUCCAAAUUAUCGUACAUCAUGGAGCAUCAACAUGCCGAACAAUAGAAAGUUUAUUCAAAUAACAAAAUGGACGCCAACGAAUGCUAUGCUUUUUAUUCAUCUCUUAUUAUUUUUUCAUGUAUUUCGUCAAACAAUAACAAAAACUUUUUAAAUUUAAAUUUAAUAAACGGAAUUGUUUAUAAAGUUAUCAAUUUCUUUUUUCAUUUGCAUUAAAAUCAAAAUUAUGGAGGUAAAGAUGUAGUUUACGGCGCUUCGUCACAGUAUUUCCGAAUGUAUGUAAUUUUAUUUUUAUUUUUCUAAACGGAUAUAUUUGUCAAGAGAAAUAAAUGACACAACAUUUUUCGUUGUUUCACAUUGUGAAUUGACAGAUGCUAGUAUAAUGAUCAAAAUAAAGGUUUUUACGUUCGUACAUCAAGACAAGAUGAGCAACGGCGACGGAGCAAAAAGACAUUGAGUUAUAGCGUGGCGACUGCAAGCGAUCAUUCUUUUCCUGCCAAGAUUGGGUAUUAUGUAACCUAAACAUAAAUAUUAUUGCACGUACGUGGUGAAGUAAAUGCUAUAAUACUACGGCGUAGUUCAAUGGUUCGUGGAAAAGGCCUAUUCAUGUCGAUUUUAUACAGCCCAAAGGACCGGUACAUAAUAGUUUAACUCAAACAUAAAUUAAAUGUGUAAAAAAUCACAAAAGUUUGUUUUUAUGUGUUAAAAAAAAUACCAUAAAUGUAGGUAUUAAGCAUGUAUUUCAUAAAGAAUAAAUCAUAAAUGCCUGUACUUACAAAGUUACAACAUGUAAAACUACUAAUUAUUUAUGUAAUAUAAUUCACCAAUUAAGAAUUUAAAAAUAUUCCAUAUUUAUUUUGGUGUUAAUUGAAAACAAUGACAUAAAUUUUUUUUUGCUGAGUUUCAAGAACAACCGUAAAAAUAUCCAGUUAAAAUAUGUGAUGACCGCUUCAAAUCCAUCGCCAAAAACUUAAUUCAUUUUGAUAAUAGACAAUUUAUUUAAGUGGCUUUUUGGUAGUGUGGUACGAUCAUAGACCUUAUACAGUUAUUAUACUAGACACUAGUAUGUAUAUAUAUGGGUAGGUACGAUGGUAUUUUGUCGAAUUAUGUUGAUGGUGUCUUGCAGCACGACUUUUUGUCGUUAUCGUGUGGUUAUUUGUCACGGAUGGAUCGUAGCAGCGUCAAAGUCAAAGAGAUCAAAUUCUAACAGAGAAACAGACCUAUGUGGCUAUGCCCGAAGCCCGAACGUCCGGACCAGUGUUGUAGUAACCACUCAAGGUUUAUAGAUAAUACAGGUU